UACAGGUAAACGAUCCAAUGAGACUAUGC
rnacentral:sRNA from 1 species